GUGUUUCACUCUGUGGCCCUGGCUGAUCAGAAACUGCUCUGCAGACCAGGCUGGCCUCAAACUCAGAGAUGCAGAGAUGCACUGUCUGCCCGCCCCUGCUGGGAUUAAAGCUGUGCCCUCCUGAUUUGCUUUCAGGUGUUCUGCAAGCAUCUCCAGGAGGGGUUAUCAGCAUCACCACCAUUACCGCCGUCUUACAGGUAACUCCACAAGCUUGCUGAACGUCAGACACACCGCUUGAAUCAGGACGGCUGUUUCCAAAUCGUGGCUGUUGAACUGUGCAGCUUAACCCAGACUUGCAUCUUUGGACCCCGGGUCUGGGACUCCUCUGAUGCCUGAGGACUGCCCCAUCUCUCCUUCUUCCUUUUGCCCUUGUCUCUGAUGGAGGACACUUUAUUGCCUCUCUACUGUCCCCUCCCCUGGUCUCCCACUGCUGCUGUGGAGGGCCCCAGGGCCUGCCCUCCAGCUGAAGGCUGUUGCUGCCUAGGCUGAGUCAGAAUAGCCCGACUGGCCUCCUGUUGUUGUAAAGAGCCAACUAUGGCUUCACAUGAAGACAGAGCCUGCUUUGAGACUCAAAGCCGAUCACAGGGUUCUCUUCAGAAUGGCUCCUGAUCUCAAGCAGACAGAUUCUCUUAAAGACUCUGGAUCUAGAGGCGGGUGGUGACAUGUAGUGAGAACUUCGGUGUCUUUGAAAUAACAGAAAUAUCAUGUAAAUAUGUUUUUGUUUUAGUCCCAGGUGUGGGGUGUGGGGGUCGCUUCAGAUCGUCCACAGCAGCUGACUAUGUCUUAUGCUCUGGCAGAAGCAUGGUUUUGCCAGCUGAAGAUAGUUUCUGUCUUGCAUUCUGGGCACUCUUGAGAGGAUCUAUAGAUGCUAAUAGAAGGGGCUGAUUGGCUGGCAGAUUGCUGGACUACAAAGAUUGGAAUUCCCUCAACUUUCCUCAAAGAACUCCACACCCCUAACCAGCAGGAAAUAGCCUAACAAGAUGGAUGCCCCCUUUCCAACCCUUCUUCCUCCCCUUCCUUCCCUUCCUUGGGAAGUUUGAAAGGUGGUAGGAAAAAGAAUUCAAUAAAGUAGCCAAAAAUUCUAGCUGCAGGUGAAUGCUUUUAAUCCCUGCACUCGGGAGGCAGAGACAGGCAGAUCUCUUGAGUUCCAGGACAGCCAGGGCUACACAGAGAAACCCUGUCUCAAAAAACAAAACAAAACAAAACAAAAGGCCUGGAUUGUGUGGUCAGCGGUAGAGCAGUUGAUUAGCAUGUGUGAACCGCCCCUCCCACCCCCCACCCCCGAUUCCAUUCCCAGCACCAACUAAAGAAAGAGAGCUGGACCAAGGUUUGGGUCCUGCUGUAUCACUUGUUGGCCUUGUGCUCUGGAAACUAGAUCAAGGGCUGGAGUGUAGCUUCCUGGUAGAGCCUGGGCAAAGAAGCUUUUAGUUGCUACUUUGAACCUGGGUUUCUCAGUCUUGAGAAGAUUAAAUGCGUGUGUUAAAGCUCAUAGCAAAAUGGCUAGCAUACAGUAAAAUUCAGCAAAUAAUCA